ACCGUACCAAUACGGUGUUAGUGGCGGAAGGGUGAGUAAUGCAUAGAUAACCUACCCCCGAGACCGGGAUAACUUCGGGAAACCGAAGCUAAGACCGGAUGGGAUCGCUGGACCGCCGGGUUCGGUGAUUAAAGGAGGCCUCUGAAGAUGCUCCCGCUCGGAGAGGGAUCUAUGUCCUAUCAGCUAGUUGGUGAGGGUAACGGCCCACCAAGGCAUUGACGGGUAGCCGGCCUUAGCGGGUGUCCGGCCACAUUGGGAUUGAGACCCUGCCCAAACUCCUACGGGAGGCUGCAGUUGAGGAUCUUCCGCAAUGGGCGCAAGCCUGACGGAGCGACGCCGCGUGUGGGAUGAAGGCCUUCGGGUUGUAAACCACUGUCACUCGUUAAGAAAGGGUCUGGCGUUAACAGCGUCAGGCACUGACGAAGGCUAGAGAGGAAGCCACGGCUAACUUCGUGCCAGCACCCGCGGUAAGACGAAGGUGGCGAGCGUUGUUCGGAAUCACUGGGCAUAAAGCGCACGUAGGCGGUGCCGUAAGUCGGGUGUGAAAUCCCUCGGCCUAACCGAGGAACUGCGCCCGAUACUGCGGUGCUUGAGGACCAGAGGGGUGCAUGGAAUUUCCGGUGGAGCGGUGAAAUGCGUUGAUAUCGGAAGGAACUCCGGCGGCGAAUGCGAUGCACUGGCUGGUUUCUGACGCUGAGGUGCGAAAGCCAGGGGAGCAAACGGGAUUAGAUACCCCGGUAGUCCUGGCCGUAAACGAUGGAUACUAGGUAGGGGGAUUUCAAACGUCUCUCUGCUGGAGCGAAUAUAUUAAGUACCCCGC
rnacentral:rRNA from 1 species